CUCAUGAUUUGUGGUUAUACCUUCAUUUUUGUGCAUUAUUAUUUGUUGUUUUGGGUUUUAUGAGCUAUGUGAUUUAUUGUUUUUGUAUGGAGUUCUUUCUGUUGAUCAUUUUGUAUUGCCGUCAUUCUGGUGAUGAGAAUGAACUUACAGUAAACUGGUUCCUAUAUUGUUCAGUGUUGUAGCUGUGAAAAUUAGAAUAUUGUAGCAGUUAGAUCACCUUGAGUCCUUGAAUGUGGAGUAUACUGAGAAGUGGAUUUAAAAAUUAUGUGUUACACAAUUUUAUGCCAUCUGUUUUCUCUUUGGUCUUGUUAAUGUGCACAAUUUGCUUCGAGGUUUAAAUGAUUGCUAUGUUGUUAAGACCUUAAAUCUAAACUUAAUACUGGAAAAUGGAAAUGGAAGUGUAUAUAGGUGAUACACUUGUAUAUACCUUUUUUGCUUAAUUCAUAAUAAUUUCCAAGAUAGAUUGGCGUUAUUUUAAAGGUCACAAGCAUGUUAAGGUUAACAUCUAUAGCAGUUAUUUUAUGUUGAAUGUGGUGUACGGUGAGAAAAAAGCAGAUCAAACUGCUCUGUUUUAGACAAUUUCCCAUUAUCUAAUAUUUCUUUGAACAAUUUGCUUCGAGGUUUAGAUGAUCGCUAUAUUGUUGAAACCUAAAUUCUGAACUUGAUAGUGGAACGGAAAGCGUAUAUAGGUGAUCCACAUGUGUAUACCAUUUCGGCUUAAUUCAGAAUAAUCUGCAAGAUAGUGACUGGUUUUUUUUUUUAAGGUCACAAGCAUAUUAAGGUUGACAUCUAUAGCAGUUAUAUUACCUUGAAUGUGGAGUAUAGUGAUAAAAAGUGGAUAAGUUUUAGACAAUUUCCCAUUAUCUUUUUUCUCUUUGCACUAUUUGCUUCAAGGUUUAGAUGAUUGCUAUAUUGU
rnacentral:lncRNA from 1 species